rnacentral:lncRNA from 1 species
AAAGAAGGAAAUUUCUAAAUGAAAAACGAUAAUUUUCCGCCAAUUGGAAAUAUGUCUCUGUGUGUGUGAGUGUGUGCUGUUGUGUGUGCGAGAAUGUGUUAAGACUGCUGAUGUUCGGCAUUUAUUUCUGGGUGAGUUUUCAAUUUUGAAUGCAACGAAAUAUUAAAAUUUGCACGAAAAUGGGAACUUUGGGAUAGAAAAAGACACGGAAAUGUGCUGCAAAAU